GUGGAGUUUCGGCUUCGGAGAGCGCUUCGAGCUGCUUCGUGCCGGAUUGAGGGCAAAUCUCCAGCGUGGGCGGCGAUAACGAGUCUUAUCUGCUGUCGGGGGCUCUGGAGAGAGAAGAAUAGGAAGGAUGUCACUCAGGGUCCGUUGAGAAAUGAAAAGAUGGGGACAAGAUAUUCGACUUCUUUUUAAAGAGAAGCAAGUCAGGCAACGGUAAGGUGGUCAAAGAGAGUGUGAGUGAAUUGUGUGUGUGUGUGUGUGAGCGGGUUACUAUGACGAUUAAACAAUUGUUGCAGGUGUGUUUGUGUGUACAUUGUGUUGUGAACAUUGUUAAUGAACUUUAAUUGAUGCACACAAACCUCAUCUUCUGUGUGCUUCGUAUGUACAUUGCAACAUUUAGAGACGCAAAUUGCAAUUCUUUGGUCGAGAAACAAAUUCAUUGUCAUAGUUUGUGGACCCCCUGAAUUAGCCUUGGCCACCCCAAGGAUGAAAGUCUAGCUCCGCCACUGGUGAAGUCAUCCGAAAGAGUUUUGCGAUUGCGACCACGGACGUUAAACGGAUGCGUGACGCUAAACUGAGCGACAUUUCCGCUUUUGUCAUCGGGUACGAGUUUGCGAGGGAUACCUGGCAGGCCGCGUAUGGGAUCGCUAAGCAAGCGUGUGCUAUCGCUAAUGAAAAGUGAUGGCAGGCAGGCGGCAGGAAUGAGGAGGAACUGUUUGGAAUUAAGCAUUCAUAGAAGAAAAGAGAGCAAGAGAGGGGGGGGGGGGGGAAAGCAGCGAAGAUGUCUUCGCGGGUCCUAAUCUUUUCGCUGGGAGCGGCGCGCAGUGGCUUAAGCUAGGUGUUUUGCGCUGACAGGUCCCCCACCUGGACAAGCUUGGACAAUGUCUGGGCCGUGUCUGGCUUCUUGCGGGAACAGUGGCUUAAUCAGGCGGGCCGAGCGACGGCGCCUGCCCUAUCUGCCUCUCCGUUUGCCGGGGAAAAUCUGGCAAAAGAGGCUAAAGCUCACUUUCAUGCUUGUCUUUCAUUCACGGACCGCACGAGCGCUUAUCGAAGACGACCCCCCCCCCCCCCCCCGCGCCAACCCCCCCUCAAACCGCCAUCUUCCCUCCUACAAGCAUUUUUUUUCUUUUUGGUGAGGAUGCUCGACGUAAGUACAGCCCAUCUGGCUAAAUAGGAAUCUCUCCUCGCUGUCACCGCUGCCACAUUAUGCCCCUGAGGGAACAUUCUCUUCAUAAUAUCAUAAGCUGCUUAGCGGUGUGCUUCUAUUUAAGGCAUACAUAUUAAUAGCUAUAAGCAAAUCAUAUUGGAAGUCUUCUGUGCUCUGUCUCGCUGCCUUUUGCUGCUGUUGUGCCGGCUGUAAGAAGGUGCUAAUAACUGCAAGGCCCCUCGCACGCCGGACCGUCUAAUCCCGAUAAGCGCUCCUCCAAGAUGCGGGGGAGGGGGGAUAGAUCACAAGACCCUGGGAAAAAAAAAAAAAGACCACGACUCCCCUUUCGCGUUCCUUCUUCGAAUUGUUGUAAUCCAUGUUCUGAGAAUUCCAGUUGAACUUCUUGUCGAAUGUGUGCAGCAAAUCGAGAACGUUGUACUCCACCUUGCUCCUUUGUAGUUGUUGUAUUUGCCAUUCUGAUUAUUAUUUGACAUUUCAGCUCACAAAUGGUAUUUGUUACAAAUUAGAAUAUGAAUUUUAUACAAUAUUUUUCUAUACUGUACUGAUGCACUGAUGCCAUUUUUUUUUUAACUUACAUUUGAAUACUUGCUGUUAAGAAGCAUGAGCAUGACUUUACAUCUUGCAAUUGUGAUGAAAAUGUAUCUUUAAUCAAAUAUUGUUCAGAAAAACUACUCAUACUUGAGUACAGUAGAGAUGCACAGUAUUAGCACUGGUAUCAGUGCAUCCUUUAUACACAGUAUAUAAAAAUACUAAAUAUAUUUGACAUAGUAUUUGUAUUGCUUUAGUAGAAGUAUGUUUUCUAUAUAUAGAUAUAUAAAUAUAAUUUAUUAUUUUGAUUUGUAGUUUAAUAUUUUUAUUUUAUGUAUUUAUUUGCUUACCAUAUUCAAUGUUUUUUUUAAAUAAAAAUGUUUCUUUUUUUACCAUUUUUUUU